rnacentral:rRNA from 1 species
CACGUAGGGCGCAAGCGUUGUCCGGAAUUAUUGGGCGUAAAGAGCUCGUAGGCGGUCUGUUGCGUCCGCUGUGAAAACUCGGGGCUUAACCCCGAGCCUGCAGUGGAUACGGGCAGACUAGAGGUAGGUAGGGGAGAAUGGAAUUCCCGGUGUAGCGGUGAAAUGCGCAGAUAUUGGGAAGAACACCAGUGGCGAAGGCGGCUAUCUGGACCGUAACUGACGCUGAGGCGCGAAAGCGUGGGGAGCAAACAGG